CACUACUGUCCUGGCUUGAGGUGAUGCUGAAUACACAAGGACAAUGAGAGAUCAUCUCUAACAGGAGCGGACGGUUGUAACUGGCCUCCACAUUAUAGCUGGUCACAAACCGGAUCUUCAAGAAACUCGUGGAAGCUGAAAACUCCAGUUCCCCAAGCAGUUCCGUGGGAGGAGAGGAAUGAAGCAGAACGGAUACAGCACUCGUGGUGGGUGCCGAUAAACCCUUCCCGAGCUGGCUGCCAGGGUCUGAAAAGGCAACAGCUGCCUCAAAUAUCUAUCUUCGAGCCGCAGCCUUGUGCUCAGCCCAAAACUUCGUGCCACCACCGCCAGCAAGGUACAGAGCCUGGUGCUUCCCCAAACCUGCUUUGAGCAGUGACCUCUGCUGGCUCCAAAGACCCCAUCUUCAUCUACCUCCUGACUAACUCUGCUGCAGCCCUGAGUUUUGCAAGAGCAGAAAGGUGAGGUCUUCUGCAAUAUAUUUUGUGUCUUCUGACAUCAGUGUGGUGUAGGUUCUGCUCUCUCUCAGGCUGCUUUCUCAGGCACAGGCAAGCUGCACAGUUUGUUUAUACUACAGGUUUGUCCAAAGCUGAUAUGCCAGAUGCAAAUCUCUACCAUGAGUCUGCAAUAUUCUGAUGUGAGAACAUCCGCUUACAACACAAGAGCCUGGCAAACCACAUUCCAGAACCAGACCUGGGCCAUCAACUGUGUACCUCUUCACAGCAGCAGUGGAAAUAAUUUCAGAUACCCUUAACUCCAGCUAACCUGCAGGGAGAAGCAGAUGGUUCUCAAGGUUACCAGAAUGCUAUCAGACCCACUUGUGCGUGUGGUACGCAAUCCAGCACGAGGAUGCAGCUCAGCUUUGAGAUGGUUAAAUGGAUGAGAAAUAAUAUCAAGGCUUGAGGGAUCCAAUUUAACUGCAGGUACAACAAAGCCAACUGUAAAAAAGACUUUAUUUUUUCCCCUUUAUACUCAGAAUGCAGAAAAGAACUUGAGGGACUCUUCCUGUAUCUCAGAGGUUUCACAGACUGAUUAUUUUUAUGUGAAGACAGAAGUAUAUAAAAGGACUUGAAAUACCAGCAUGGUUUGCCAGAGGAACAUAAUUAUUCCCAA